GAAAGAUUGAAUAUUUACUUUGACUCCAAAUUCAAGGAAGUUUUCUGAAGCAAGACUUAUCACUCGAGAUAUCACAAGUGAAUAGGGGUAAUGCUUCGUUUAGUACCAGUCAGUCUAAGCCCAAGCUUUGGCCUUUUAGCAUAGUUCAGCUUUAGACAGAAUCGGCCACCCUUGAAGCUUUAUCAAGAUCAAAGCCUUGAAGCGUAUGACCCUGGAUACUAGAUUUUGUAGUGACUGUAGCUUUGAUCUUUGCAUUACCUGCUGUAUAUGUAUAUCAGCUCUUGAUG